rnacentral:rRNA from 1 species
GACGAACGCUGGCGGCGUGCCUAAAACAUGCAAGUCGAACGGGGUCUUCGGACCCAGUGGCGAACGGCGGAGUAAUACAUAAGCAGCGUGCCCUGAAGACUGGGAUAUACGAUGGAAACGUCGGGCAAUACCAGAUGUGGUUGGGAGGAGUCAUCUUCAUCCAAUUAAACGGAUUUAUUCGCUUCGGGAGCGGCUUGUGGCCUAUCAGCUAGUUGGUGAGGUAAAGGCUCACCAAGGCGACGACGGGUAGGGGGUCUGAGAGGAUGAUCCCCUCGAGUGGGACUGAGACACGGCCCACACACCUACGGGUGGCAGCAGUUGGGAAUCUUGCACAAUGGGGGAAACCCUGAUGCAGCGACGCCGCGUGGAGGAUGAAGGAUUUCGGUCUGUAAACUCCUUUUACAGGGAAAGACUUAGGACGGUACCCUGUGAAUAAGCUCCGGCUAACUACGUGCCAGCAGCCGCGGU